UUGAUAGCAGGAGCACCAGAAGCAAUAAGGAACUCUCCUAUGACAAGUCAAGGAGAGAACAAACAUUAAAGCCAGCGGCAUUAAGGGAGCAGGCAGUCUCUGCAAUGCCCAGAGCGGCACUAGCAACCACCACAGGAUGAUGAUCCACCCACUGGGCCUUGUCAUCAGUGACAAGCUCUGAUUGUAGUCGGCAGAUGGCCUUUGAUUGGCUGGAUACCAUCAGCGUUCCUUCUGGGAGGGACAAAAAACAAGGCAGAACAAUGCAUUAAGGGGUCUCACACGAAACCAGAAAAUUCGCAUUCCUGACAGCUGCCCCUGUGGUGGUGCUGCUGCUGCUGCUGACAACGAUGAUGAUGGUGAUGGUGAUGGUGGUGGUAGUGAUACUGCAUCUUCUCAUGGUCCCUAAGACCAUACUUCACUAUACACAAUUAGCUAACUCCUUGCUUGACCAACAUACACCUUCCCAAUGCUUCCUAAACAAAAAGUUUGAGUGAUUGAAUUUCUGCCAACAGAAA